AUUGAACGCUGGCGGCAGGCCUAACACAUGCAAGUCGAGCGGAUGAAGGGAGCUUGCUUCUGGAUUCAGCGGCGGACGGGUGAGUAAUGCCUAGGAAUCUGCCUGGUAGUGGGGGAUAACGUCCGGAAACGGGCGCUAAUACCGCAUACGUUCUGAGGGUGAAAGUGGGGGAUCUUCGGACCUCACGCCAUCAGAUGAGCCUAGGUCGGAUUAGCUAGUUGGUGGGGUAAAGGCCUACCAAGGCGACGAUCCGUAACUGGUCUGAGAGGAUGAUCAGUCACACUGGAACUGAGACACGGUCCAGACUCCUACGGGAGGCAGCAGUGGGGAAUACUGGACAAUGGGCGAAAGCCUGAUCCAGCCAUGCCGCGUGUGUGAAGAAGGUCUUCGGAUUGUAAAGCACUUUAAGUUGGGAGGAAGGGCAGUAAGUUAAUACCUUGCUGUUUUGACGUUACCAACAGAAUAAGCACCGGCUAACUUCGUG
rnacentral:rRNA from 1 species